UACGGAGGGUGCGAGCGUUGUCCGGAAUCAUUGGGCGUAAAGCGCGCGUAGGUGGCCUCAUAAGUCCGCUGUGAAAGUCCAGGGCUCAACCCUGGAAAGCCGGUGGAAACUGUCGAGCUAGAGUCCGGAAGAGGCGAGUGGAAUUCCUGGUGUAGCGGUGAAAUGCGCAGAUAUCAGGAGGAACACCAAUGGCGAAGGCAGCUCGCUGGGACGGUACUGACGCUGAGACGCGAAAGCGUGGGGAGCAAACAGG
rnacentral:rRNA from 1 species